rnacentral:rRNA from 1 species
CAGAGGCCCCAAGCGUUACUGAGAAUCACUGGGUUUAAAGGGUGCGUAGGUGGUCCGUUAAGUUCGUUGUGUGAGCCCUGGGCUCAACCCAGGAACUGCUUCGAAUACUGGCGGACUUGAGGCGAGUAUGGGUCACUGGAACUGACGGUGGAGCGGUGAAAUGCGUAGAUAUCGUCAGGAACGCCAAUGGUGAAGACAGGUGACUGGGCUCGAUCUGACACUGAGGCACGAAAGCGUGGGGAGCGAACGGGAUUAGAUACCCCGGUAGUCCACGCCCUAAACGAUGCAGACUAGACUGCAGCGGGUUACACCCCGUUGCGGUCGGAGCGAAAUUGUUAAGUCUGCCACCUGGGAAGUACGGUCGCAAGGCUA